rnacentral:rRNA from 1 species
UUUCGCAAUGCCCGAAAGGGUGACGAAGCGACGCCGCGUGUGGGAAGAAGGCCUUCGGGUUGUAAACCACUGUCGGGAGUUAAGAAAGGUGUACGGGUAAAUAGUCCGUGCAUUUGACAAGAGCUCCGGAGGAAGCCACGGCUAACUCUGUGCCAGCAGCCGCGGUAAUACAGAGGUGGCAAGCGUUGUUCGGAAUUAUUGGGCGUAAGGAGCACGUAGGCGGCCCUGCAAGUCAGCUGUGAAAGCCUCCUGCUUAACGGGAGAAGUGCAGUUGAAACUACGGGGCUAGAGUGCGGAAGGGGAGAGUGGAACUUCUGGUGGAGCGGUGAAAUGCGUAGAUAUCAGAAGGAACACCGGCGGCGAAAGCGGCUCUCUGGUCCGUAACUGACGCUGAGGUGCGAAAGCCAGGGGAGCAAACGGGAUUAGAUACCCCGGUAGUCCUGGCCGUAAACGAUGGGCACUAAGUAGAGGGGUUUU